UGACGAAGGGGGCUAGCGUUGCUCGGAAUUACUGGGCGUAAAGCGCACGUAGGCGGGAUCGUUAAGUCGGGGUGAAAUCCUGGAGCUCAACUCCAGAACUGCCUUCGAUACUGGCGAUCUUUGAGUCCGGAAGAGGUGAGUGGAACUCCUAGUGUAGAGGUGGAAUUCGUAGAUAUUAGGAAGAACACCAGUGGCGGAAGGCGGCUCACUGGUCCGGUACUGGACGCUGAGGUGGCG
rnacentral:rRNA from 1 species